UGACGGUACCUGACUAAGAAGCACCGGCUAAAUACGUGCCAGCAGCCGCGGUAAUACGUAUGGUGCAAGCGUUAUCCGGAUUUACUGGGUGUAAAGGGAGCGCAGGCGGUUCUGCAAGCCAGAGGUGAAAACCCGGGGCUCAACCCCGUGAUUGCCUUUGGAACUGUAGGACUUGAGUACUGGAGGGGCAGGCGGAAUUCCUGGUGUAGCGGUGAAAUGCGUAGAUAUCAGGAGGAACACCGGUGGCGAAGGCGGCCUGCUGGACAGAAACUGACGCUGAGGCUCGAAAGCGUGGGGAGCAAACAGGAUUAGAUACCCUG
rnacentral:rRNA from 1 species